rnacentral:RNase_P_RNA from 1 species
GCAGUUUGUUGGACAAUCGCCAGCCGUCAAAAGUUGGAGGAAAGUCCGGGCAGCGCAGGAUACGACAGCCGCUAACAGCGGCCGGGGGUGACCCUAGGGAAAGUGCCACAGAAACGAUACCGCCCGCCAACCGGCGGGUAAGGGUGAAAGGAGUGCUCGCGCAAGCGGGGAUGACAUGCGGCCGACCGUGUAAGCGGUCCUUCGUCAAGUCAUCAGGUAAGAGCUCACAGCGACGCAUGGUAACAUGUGGAGGAGGUAAACCCUGUCGGCUGCAAGGAGGUGUGCAUAAAGAGCUAUCCGCUCGCACACCGAUACCCGCUUGAUGUGUGCGGCAACGUACAUGCUAGAUAGAUGAUUGUUCUCGACAGAACCCGGCUUACAGACUAACUGCCAUC